GACGAACGCUGGCGGCGUGCUUAACACAUGCAAGUCGAACGGAAAGGCCCUGCUUUUGUGGGGUGCUCGAGUGGCGAACGGGUGAGUAACACGUGAGUAACCUGCCCUUGACUUUGGGAUAACUUCAGGAAACUGGGGCUAAUACCGGAUAGGAGCUCCUGCUGCAUGGUGGGGGUUGGAAAGUUUCGGCGGUUGGGGAUGGACUCGCGGCUUAUCAGCUUGUUGGUGGGGUAGUGGCUUACCAAGGCUUUGACGGGUAGCCGGCCUGAGAGGGUGACCGGCCACAUUGGGACUGCGAUACGGCCCAGACUCCUACGGGAGGCAGCAGUGGGGAAUAUUGCACAAUGGGCGGACGCCUGUUGCAGCAACGCCGCGUGCGUGAUGACGGCCUUCGGGUUGUAAACCGCUUUCGCCUGUGACGAAGCGUGAGUGACGGUACUGGGUAAAGAAGCACCGGCUAACUACGUG
rnacentral:rRNA from 1 species